rnacentral:rRNA from 1 species
GACGAACGCUGGCGGCGUGCUUAACACAUGCAAGUCGAACGCUGAAGCGUGGUGCUUGCACGGGGGGGAUGAGGGGCGAACGGGUGAGGAAUACGUGAGUAACCUGCCCUUGACUCUGGGAUAAGCCUGGGAAACUGGGUCUAAUACUGGAUACGACAUGUCACCGCAUGGUGGUGUGGGGAAAGGGAUUUACUGGUUCUGGAUGGGCUGACGGCCUAUCAGCUUGUUGGUGGGGUAAUGGCUCACCAAGGCGACGACGGGUAGCCGGCCUGAGAGGGUGACCGGCCACACUGGGACUGAGACACGGCCCAGACUCCUACGGGAGGCAGCAGUGGGGAAUAUUGCACUAUGGGCGGAAGCCUGAUGCAGCGACGCCGCGUGGGGGAUGACGGCCUUCGGGUUGUAAACCUCUUUCAGCUCGGAAGAAGCGAAAGUGACGGUACGUGCAGAAGAAGCGCCGGCUAACUACGUG